ACUCCUACGGGAGGCAGCAGUGGGGAAUAUUGCACAAUGGGCGCAAGCCUGAUGCAGCCAUGCCGCGUGUGUGAAGAAGGCCUUCGGGUUGUAAAGUACUUUCAGUCGUGAGGAAGGCGGCGUCGUUAAUAGCGGCGUUGUUUGACGUUAGCGACAGAAGAAGCACCGGCUAACUCCGUGCCAGCAGCCGCGGUAAUACGGAGGGUGCGAGCGUUAAUCGGAAUUACUGGGCGUAAAGCGCAUGCAGGUGGUUUGUUAAGUCAGAUGUGAAAGCCCGGGGCUCAACCUCGGAAUUGCAUUUGAAACUGGCAGACUAGAGUACUGUAGAGGGGGGUAGAAUUUCAGGUGUAGCGGUGAAAUGCGUAGAGAUCUGAAGGAAUACCGGUGGCGAAGGCGGCCCCCCUGGACAGAUACUGACACUCAGAUGCGAAAGCGUGGGAGCAAACAGGAUUAGAUAACCCCGUGGUAGGACAGUG
rnacentral:rRNA from 1 species